rnacentral:rRNA from 1 species
GGCGAACGCUGGCGGCGUGCCUAAUACAUGCCAGUUGAGCGCUGAAGGUUGGUACUUGUACCAACUGGAUGAGCAGCGAACGGGUGAGUAACGCGUGGGGAAUCUGCCUUUGAGCGGGGGACAACAUUUGGAAACGAAUGCUAAUACCGCAUAAAAACUUUAAACACAAGUUUUAAGUUUGAAAGAUGCAAUUGCAUCACUCAAAGAUGGUCCCGCGUUGUAUUAGCUAGUUGGUGAGGUAAAGGCUCACCAAGGCGAUGAUACAUAGCCGACCUGAGAGGGGGAUCGGCCACAUUGGGACUGAGAAAAGGCCCAAACUCCUACGGGAGGCAGCAGUAGGGAAUCCUCGGCAAUGGAGGAAAGUCUGACCGAGCAACGCCGCGUGAGUGAAGAAGGUUCUCGGAUCGUAAAACUCUGUUGGUAGAGAAGAACGUUGGUGAGAGUGGAAAGCUCAUCAAGUGACGGUAACUACCCAGAAAGGGACGGCUAACUACGUG